GAUCGGUUAGCUCAGUGGUUAGAGCACCGGCAUAUAUAGCAGGAGGUCUGUGGUUCAAUUCCAUACCUGAUCG